GUAGCAGGGAUAGUAAGGUGCUUGCAUGCGGCUGUCGUGACCUGUGUUCAAGUCCUCUCAAGAUAGAAAAUAGUGCCCCCGGAUAAUAAGGUGCUUGCAUGCGACUGCCGUGGCCCCAUGUUCAAGUCCUCUCAAAUUUAAUACUUCCCUGACUUACCGAGUGUACCAUUGGGGCGGUACUCUACAUCCCCAGGUUUGUAACCUUGAGUUGGUCCCGAAGGAGCUGCCAAGGGAAGUUCCUGUUGCUAACCAAAAAUAUAUAUAUUUAUAUAUAUUUCAUUUUUCAAGUCUUAUGGGAGACAUCUUUUCCUUUUUUAGAAAUGCAUCUUGCAUCUCCCCGCUCUUCUAUCCAUUUUUUAUAUUUUUAGGUUUGAAAACUUGCUAGUUUCUAAAAUCUUGUAAUCUCCGGUAAGAGAUUAAAACACUGUUUUGUCAAACUCUAUCUAGGGCGUUGGAAUCCAAUUCCAAACUCAUCAAGGGUUUCAGGCAACCAUUGGAUCGGAGGAUACAAUGGCAGAAAUUCGUAUCGAAAUACUGUUGUUUUCAGCAAUGAGAGAGAGCUUGGCUUAUUAUUUCUCUGAAGUUUAGACUACAGUAAUUGUGGCCUACUCUCUAGGUGAAAAACUAACCAAGGAGCCCUCUUUAUAUCCUUCUGUGGGCACUGUUGCUGCAUUCUUCUGCUAGUUCAAGAUCCCGACCAGGGUCGAAAGCAGUAAAUGCCAUACACUUGAGGCUGUAAUUUACUUUCAGACCAUGCCCUCGAUCCUUGUACCUUAUUAUGCUUCCUUUUCAGUUUGUCUUCCUUACUCUUCUUCCUCUCUCCAAUUCUUUAUUGUGAUACCAUGUGACUUGAGCUUGCUGGAAGGUAGCUAGCUACCCAUCAUUCAAAUCCUUAGUUUGGUGGUGUCAAUCUAAUACGUUGUUAAUGCUUUGAUGACUUUCAUAAGAUUGUUUGUUCAUAUUCGUCGAAGGCUCGUUUGGAGGAAAGGACCUGCUAGCUAGCUAGCUUUGCAUUUAUUGGCACCCUUGGGUGUUUAUAGGCCACUCGCACCUCCUUAUUUUUCAAAGUUUCUCUAUAUUAUUGGUCGGUCAAGUUUCCUUUUUCCUUUUAAAAUUUAUAGAAUAGUGCACCAAUUCUUAA